UACGAACUGUGCAAACGUUAUUCGGAAUCACUGGGCUUACAGGGUGCGUAGGCGGCUUGUCAAGUAGGGUGUGAAAGCCCCCGGCUCAACCGGGGAAUUGCGCCCUAAACUGGCGAGCUGGAGUGAGAUAGGGGUGUGCGGAACUUCCGGUGGAGCGGUGAAAUGUGUUGAUAUCUGGAGGAACACCAGUGGCGAAGGCGGCUUCCUGGCCUGUAACUGACGCUGAGACGCGAAAGCGUGGGGAGCGAACCGG
rnacentral:rRNA from 1 species